UACGUAGGGUGCAAGCGUUGUCCGGAAUUAUUGGGCGUAAAGAGCUCGCAGGCGGUUUGUCGCGUCUGCUGUGAAAACUCGGGGCUUAACCCCGGGCCUGCAGUGGGUACGGGCAGACUAGAGUGCGGUAGGGGAGACUGGAAUUCCUGGUGUAGCGGUGAAAUGCGCAGAUAUCAGGAGGAACACCGGUGGCGAAGGCGGGUCUCUGGGCCGUAACUGACGCUGAGGAGCGAAAGCGUGGGGAGCGAACAGG
rnacentral:rRNA from 1 species